UACAGAGGGUGCGAGCGUUGUCCGGAAUCACUGGGCGUAAAGGGCGCGUAGGUGGCGCGACAAGUCAGUGGUGAAAGCUCGACGCUCAACGUCGAGUCGGCCACUGAUACUGUUGGGCUUGAGCACUGUAGAGGCUAAUGGAAUUCCGGGUGUAGCGGUGGAAUGCGUAGAGAUCCGGAAGAACACCGGUGGCGAAGGCGGUUAGCUGGGCAGUUGCUGACACUGAGGCGCGGACAGCGUGGGGAGCAAACAGG
rnacentral:rRNA from 1 species